rnacentral:rRNA from 1 species
AUUGAACGCUGGCGGCAGGCCUAACACAUGCAAGUCGAACGAGUGGCGGACGGGUGAGUAAUGUCUGGGAAACUGCCUGAUGGAGGGGGAUAACUACUGGAAACGGUAGCUAAUACCGCAUACCAUCGGAUGUGCCCAGAGGGGAUUAGCUAGUAGGUGGGGUAAAGGCUCACCUAGGCGACGAUCCCUAGCUGGUCUGAGAGGAUGACCAGCCACACUGUAACUGAGACACGGUCCAGACUCCUACGUGAGGCAGAAGUGGGGAAUAUUGCACAAUGGGAGCAAGCCUGAUGCAGCAAUGCCGCGUGUGUGAAGAAGGCCUUCGGGUUGUAAAGUACUUUCAGCGAGGAGGCGUUACCCGCAGAAGAAGCACCGGCUAACUCCGGGCCAGCAGCCGCGGUAAUUC